rnacentral:rRNA from 1 species
GGUUCGAUUAUGGCUCAGGAUGAACGCUGCCGGCGUGCUUAACACAUGCAAGUCGAACGAACCUUCGGGUUAGUGGCGGACGGGUGAGUAACGCGUGAGAAUCUGCCCUCAGGAGGGGGAUAACAGCUGGAAACGGCUGCUAAUACCCCAUAUGCCGCGAGGUGAAAUGAAUUUCGCCUGAGGAUGAGCUCGCGUCUGAUUAGCUAGUUGGUGUGGGUAAUGGCUCACCAAGGCAUCGAUCAGUAGCUGGUCUGAGAGGAUGAUCAGCCACACUGGGACUGAGACACGGCCCAGACUCCUACGGGAGGCAGCAGUGGGGAAUUUUCCGCAAUGGGCGAAAGCCUGACGGAGCAACGCCGCGUGAGGGAUGAAGGCCUCUGGGCUGUAAACCUCUUUUAUCAAGGAAGAAGAUCUGACGGUACUUGAUGAAUAAGCCACGGCUAAUUCCGUGC